GAUGAACGCUAGCGGCAGGCUUAAUACAUGCAAGUCGAGGGGUAGCAAGAUUGUAGCAAUACAAUUGUUGACGACCGGCAAACGGGUGCGGAACACGUACACAACCUUCCUACAAGUGGGGAAUAGCCCAGAGAAAUUUGGAUUAAUACCCCGUAACAUAGCGAUGUGGCAUCACAUUGCUAUUAUAGCUUCGGCGCUUGUUGAUGGGUGUGCGGCUGAUUAGAUAGUUGGCGGGGUAACGGCCCACCAAGUCUACGAUCAGUAGCUGAUGUGAGAGCAUGAUCAGCCACACGGGCACUGAGACACGGGCCCGACUCCUACGGGAGGCAGCAGUAAGGAAUAUUGGACAAUGGACGCAAGUCUGAUCCAGCCAGGCCGCGUGAAGGAUAAAGGUCCUCUGGAUUGUAAACUUCUUUUAUAAGGGACGAAAAAAGGUCUUUCUAGAUCGUCUGACGGUACCUUAUGAAUAAGCACCGGCUAACUCCGUGCCAGCAGCCGCCGUAAGAC
rnacentral:rRNA from 1 species